AUUGAACGCUGGCGGCAGGCCUAACACAUGCAAGUCGAACGGAGCGGCGGACGGGUGAGUAAUGUAUGGGAAUCUGCCCGGUAGUGGGGGAUAACGACUGGAAACGGGGGCUAAUACCGCAUACUAUCGGAUGAACCCAGAUGGGAUUAGCUAGUAGGUGUGGUAAAGGCUUACCAAGGCUACGAUCUGUAGCUGGUCUGAGAGGAUGAUCAGUCACACGGGGACGUAGACACGGCCCAGACUCCUACGGGAGGCAGCAGUGGGGAAUAUUGCACAAUGGGCGCAAGCCUGCUCCAGCCAUGCCGCGUGUGUGAAGAAGGCCUUAGGAUUGUAAAGUACUUUAAGCUGGGAGGCGUUACCAGCAGAAUAAGCACCGGCUAACUUCGUGCCAGCAGCCGCGGUAAUUC
rnacentral:rRNA from 1 species